CUACUACUCCCUCCGUUCGAAAAUACUUGUCAUUGAAAUGGAUGUAUCUAGAUGUAUUUUAGUUCUAGACACAUCCAUUUUGAUGACAAGUAAUUCCGGACGGAGGGAGUAUUAU
rfam:Triticum aestivum genome assembly, contig: Triticum_aestivum_CS42_TGACv1_scaffold_501431_6BL